AGCAGUGUGGUUCAGUGGAAAGAGCAUGUGUCUGGGAAUUAGAAGACUUAGGUUCUAUUCCUAUCAUAGCCA
rnacentral:tRNA from 1 species